rnacentral:rRNA from 1 species
AGCGAACGCUGGCGGCAGGCCUAACACAUGCAAGUCGAACGAACUCUUCGGAGUUAGUGGCGGACGGGUGAGUAACACGUGGGAACGUGCCUUUUGGUUCGGAAUAACUCAGGGAAACUUGUGCUAAUACCGAAUGUGCCCUUCGGGGGAAAGAUUUAUCGCCAUUAGAGCGGCCCGCGUCUGAUUAGCUAGUUGGUGAGGUAACGGCUCACCAAGGCGACGAUCAGUAGCUGGUCUGAGAGGAUGACCAGCCACACUGGGACUGAGACACGGCCCAGACUCCUACGGGAGGAAGCAGUGGGGAAUCUUGCGCAAUGGGCGAAAGCCUGACGCAGCCAUGCCGCGUGAAUGAUGAAGGUCUUAGGAUUGUAAAAUUCUUUCACCGGGGACGAUAAUGACGGUACCAUGAGAAGAAGCCCCGGCUAACUUCGUG